rnacentral:lncRNA from 1 species
CCCAUUGGCUUCUGGCUUGCGAUGGCAGCGGACCAAUAGCAGUGAAUUGAAGGCGGUGCCUUGUGAAUCUCGCCUGGCUGCACGCGCAGGGGAGUGGGGGCGUGGCAUUUUUUUGAGGAAAAAAAGCUAAACAAUCUUUAAUAUUUCAAAUUGACUGUGUCGGCUUUUUAAGUUGUCUCGGCUGGUGGAGAAGUCCAUACCUUAGAAUAGUGGUAACACACGGGGAUCCACUCAAGACAGGCCUGAAUGUAUUUUCUUCCAAAUUUCUGGACGAAAAGGUAUAGAAAGCGGGUAAUCUUUCUUUAGUCACCACUCCGGUCAGACGAUGAAUUCUAAACGUUUGCUUGACAUGUCUCCGGCUGAAAUACUGGUCGGGGGCGCUUCGAAACAAGCCGGUAUUGACCAGCAUGCAGAGGGUUCCAAGGGAAGCGAAAUGAGUGUCACCACUACUGACAGCGGUGUCAUUCUGGCGUGCGGGAGCGGGCCCGCAUCAGGAGCAGUUUUCUGCACAUUCGUGCUAGACGAUGGCACUUUGAGAGAAUGUACAAACCAGGACAUUAUCCUCAAUGGGAAUGACCUGUCGUCAGGGAAAGAAAAAUACGCGCACCGGAAAAUAAUGGGUUGUGGUGGCGAGGCAGAUGAGAGGAACAGUGGUCUGACUGGGGUCCUUACUAACGGCAGUCCCACUCACUGCCUGAUCCUGAACGGGCAGAAGCCGGACAGACACAUGCACUCGAAAGUGAGGAAUCCGCUGGUGCCCGAUGGUUUCCAGGAAACCGGACAUCAAGUGCCACCUGAGGAGAGAAAUUCCCACCCCUCCUCCCACAUACCUGUCCCCCGACGCAGGCAGAAACUCAAACAGGAAGUACCCGUGCUAAGGACUAUUCAACACUGGUCUGACCAAUCGGAAUCCACAAUUCAAGAUUGUUUUCAUCACGCAGACUGGGAUAUGUUCCGGGUAGCCUCAGAUAAUAACAUAGAAGUAUACUCUGAUUCGGUGAGUGAGUUUAUAAGGAAGUGUAUAGGGGAAGUUUGUCCCACUGUGACUUUUAAAACCUACCCCCAGAAACCAUGGAUAGAUGGCAGCAUUCGCGCAAAACUGAAAGCGCAUACCACUGCAUUUAACCAUAGCAGGUCGACUGGGAAUAUGGCCAAAUACAAACAGAGUAGUCAUUCCCUCCGCAAGGCAAUCAAAGAAGCAAAAUGUCAGUAUAGAGACAAAGUGUAGUCGUAAUUCAACGGCUCAGACACGGACAUAUGUGGCAGAGUCUACAGACAAUCACGGACUUCAAAAGGAAAACCAGCCACGUCGUGGACACAGACGUCUUGCUUCCAGACAAACUAAACACCUUCUUUGCCCACUUUGAGGAUAUUACAGUGCCACCGAUGCGGCCCGCU